rnacentral:rRNA from 1 species
AGAGUUUGAUCAUGGCUCAGGAUGAACGCUGGCGGCGUGCUUAACACAUUCAAGUCGAACGGACGACAGGGGGCUUGCUCCCUGAAGUUAGUGGCGGACGGGUGAGUAACGCGUGAGCAACCUGCCUUUUUUCGGGGGAUAACACGGGGAAACCGGUGCUAAUACCGCAUAACGUACCGAGAUCGCAUGGUCAUGGUACCAAAGGAGCAAUCCGAGGAAAGAUGGGCUCGCGUCUGAUUAGAUAGUUGGUGGGGUAACGGCCUACCAAGUCGACGAUCAGUAGCCGGACUGAGAGGUUGAACGGCCACAUUGGAACUGAGAUACGGUCCAGACUCCUACGGGAGGCAGCAGUGGGGAAUAUUGGGCAAUGGGCGAAAGCCUGACCCAGCGACGCCGCGUGAAGGAAGAAGGUCUUCGGAUUGUAAACUUUUGUCAGCAGGGAAGAAGCAAGUGACGGUACCUGCUAAGAAAGCCACGGCUAACUACGUGCCAGCAGCCGCGGUAAUACGUAGGUGGCAAGCGUUAUCCGGAUUUACUGGGUGUAAAGGGUGUGUAGGCGGACUUGCAAGUCAGGUGUGAAAUCUAUCGGCUCAACUGAUAGCGUGCACUUGAAACUGCAGGCCUUGAGAGUCGGAGAGGUAAGCGGAAUUCCCAGUGUAGCGGUGAAAUGCGUAGAUAUUGGGAGGAACACCAGUGGCGAAGGCGGCUUACUGGACGACCACUGACGCUGAGACACGAAAGCGUGGGGAGCAAACAGGAUUAGAUACCCUGCUAGUCCACGCCGUAAACGAUGAAUACUAGGUGUGAGCGCGUAGGCGUUCGUGCCGGAGUUAACACAAUAAGUAUUCCACCUGGGGAGUACGGCCGCAAGGUUGAAACUCAAAGGAAUUGACGGGAGCCCGCACAAGCAGUGGAGUAUGUGGUUUAAUUCGAUGCAACGCGAAGAACCUUACCAGGACUUGACAUCCCGGGAAUCCGAGGUAAAGCUUGGAGUGCCCUUCGGGGAAUCCGGAGACAG